GACGAACGCUGGCGGCGUGCUUAACACAUGCAAGUCGAACGGAAAGGCCCUGCUUUUGUGGGGUGCUCGAGUGGCGAACGGGUGAGUAACACGUGAGUAACCUGCCCUUGACUUUGGGAUAACUUCAGGAAACUGGGGCUAAUACCGGAUAGGAGCUCCUGCUGCAUGGUGGGGGUUGGAAAGUUUCGGCGGUUGGGGAUGGACUCGCGGCUUAUCAGCUUGUUGGUGGGGUAGUGGCUUACCAAGGCUUUGACGGGUAGCCGGCCUGAGAGGGUGACCGGCCAAAUUGGGACUGAGCUACGGCCCAGACUCCGACGGGAGGCAGCAGUGGGGAAGAUCGCACAAGGGGCGGAAGCCUGAUGCAGCGACGCCGGGUGCGGGAUGACGGCCUUCGGGUUGGAAACCGCUGUCGCCGGUGACGAAGCGUGAGUGACGGUAAUGGGUAAAGAAGCACCGGCUAGCUACGUG
rnacentral:rRNA from 1 species